CCUACGGGAGGCAGCAGUGGGGGAUAUUGCACAAUGGGGGGAACCCUGAUGCAGCGACGCCGCGUGGGUGAAGAAGCGCCUCGGCGCGUAAAGCCCUGUCAGCAGGGAAGAAAAUGACGGUACCUGAAGAAGAAGCCCCGGCUAACUACGUGCCAGCAGCCGCGGUAACACGUAGGGGGCAAGCGUUAUCCGGAUUUACUGGGUGUAAAGGGGGCGCAGACGGGGAUGCCAGCCAGGAGUGAAAGCCCGGGGCCCAACCCCGGGACUGCUGUUGGAACUGCGUGGCUGGAGUGCAGGAGGGGCAGGCGGAAUGCCUGGUGUAGCGGUGAAAUGCGUAGAUAUCAGGAGGAACACCGGUGGCGAAGGCGGCCUGCUGGACUGCAACUGACGUUGAGGCCCGAAAGCGUGGGUAGCAAACAGGAUUAGAUACCCUAGUAGUC
rnacentral:rRNA from 1 species